rnacentral:rRNA from 1 species
GAUGAACGCUAGCUACAGGCUUAACACAUGCAAGUCGAGGGAUCGGCGCACGGGCGAGUAACACGUAACCAACCUGCCCUUUACCCUGGGAUAGCCUUUUGAAAGAAAGAUUACUACCCGAUAUAAAGGAUGGGGGUGCGUUCCAUUAGGUUGUUGGUGAGGUAACGGCCCACCAAGCCUUCGAUGGAUAGGGGUUCGGAGAGGAAGGUCCACCAGAUGGGAAAUGAGACCCGAUCCAAACUCGUACGGGACGCAGGAGUGAGGAAUAUUGGGCAAUGGGCGGUAGCCUGAACCAGCCAAGUAGCGUGAAGGGUGAAGGCUUAGGGAUCGUAAGCUGCUUUUAUAUAAGAAUAGGUAUUAUAUGAAUAAGGAUCGGCUAACUCCGUGCCAGCCGCCGCGGUAAUUC